AUUGAACGCUGGCGGAAUGCUUUACACAUGCAAGUCGAGCGGCAGCGCGGCCUUCGGGCUGGCGGCGAGCGGCGAACGGAUGAGUAAUGCAUCGGAACAUGCCCAGUCGUGGGGGAUAACACUUCGAAAGAAGUGCUAAUACCGCAUACGUCCUGAGGGGGAAAGCGGGGGAUCGCAAGACCUCGCGCGAUUGGAGUGGCCGAUGUCAGAUUAGCUAGUUGGUGGGGUAAAGGCCUACCAAGGCGACGAUCUGUAGCUGGUCUGAGAGGAUGAUCAGCCACACUGGGACUGAGACACGGCCCAGACUCCUACGGGAGGCAGCAGUGGGGAAUUUUGGACAAUGGGGGCAACCCUGAUCCAGCCAUUCCGCGUGAGUGAAGAAGGCCUUCGGGUUGUAAAGCUCUUUCGGCAGGAACGAAACGGUGGGCUCUAACAUAGUCCGCUAAUGACGGUACCUGAAGAAGAAGCACCGGCUAACUACGUG
rnacentral:rRNA from 1 species